GGGAAGUGGGCAGACAACUGACACAUGAGCUCAUCGCCUGUACUAGGACUAAACAUUCAUCAUAUGUAUUUGUAUGACUUGUUUGGGUGUACUUAUUGUAAUUUGUUUG